CAGCAGUGAGGAAGGUGGGUAUGUUAAUAGCAUAUUCAUUUGACGUUAGCUGCAGAAGAAGCACCGGCUAACUCCGUGCCAGCAGCCGCGGUAAUACGGAGGGUGCGAGCGUUAAUCGGAAUUACUGGGCGUAAAGCGCAUGCAGGUGGUUUGUUAAGUCAGAUGUGAAAGCCCGGGGCUCAACCUCGGAAUUGCAUUUGAAACUGGCAAACUAGAGUACUGUAGAGGGGGUAGAAUUUCAGGUGUAGCGGUGAAAUGCGUAGAGAUCUGAAGGAAUACCGGUGGCGAAGGCGGCCCCCUGGACAGAUACUGACACUCAGAUGCGAAAGCGUGGGGAGCAAACAGGAUUAGAUACCCUGGUAG
rnacentral:rRNA from 1 species